CCUGUUUUCGUUGACGUACGCGAGGCGUUGACUCUCGCAGCAAUCGCGAGAUAAUCCAUUACGUUAUAAAGUUGCGGCAAUUGGGCUGUUGAAUAGAGGAGAUAAGUGAUUCGCUCGCGGGUGUGUUAACGUGUUGGACAACUCGAGAUGUAGAACGUCAUGUCGGUGAUAAACCUCAAGUUCACAAAGUUCGAUAAUACGCCAUGGGGCUUUCGACUGGCGGGUGGAAGCGACUUUCCGCAGCCAUUGACCGUCAUCAAAGUGGCGGAAGGAAGUCUCGCGGAAUGCAUGGGCCUGAGAUUGGGUGACAUAGUGAUGAGUUUGAACGAUCGUCCUGUGAGCAGUUUGACACACGGUCAAGCCCACGAAGCUCUCGUCCUCGCUGGCAACAACUUCAGUUUAUCGGUUCUCAGACCGAUCGACUGUUCCGAGAGCGUCGAAGUUAUUCAACAAGAAAAUAUCGUCCCGUACACGAUACCCCUCGACCAACUGCCGCCUGUUUUCCCGGAAGAAAUUCUAACUGCACCCGUCGAAGAAUACAGCUUCGUGGAGGAAACGCGGGAGGAAACGGUCGAAGUGGUGCAAGAGGAAAUUCCCCCGAAGCCUGUCGACGCCAACAGCGAAGUUGUUCCCAACAAGAAUCUCACCGACGAGGAAAUCGCACAGUUGAUACUCGAAGAGGAGGAGUUGUUGAUUCCCGAUCAAGGAGUCUUGGGCGUCAACUUCAAGAAAAUUCGGCCCCGAGUCGAAAAGUUGAAACAAUCCAAAGUGUUGGAGGAAUUGCAAAAAAUCGCGGUCGAGGAUCCGCCGCGUGUGCAAGAGUUGAAGCACACUUCGACCUUCCUCCAGAAGCCCGAGCGUCCGCCACCCCCGUCGAAGAACGACCUCGACAAGCAGACGAGAGCGGAGGGCGAGCAGUACAGGGUGGUGAUAAAAAAGCAACAGAAGAAAAGUGUGACGGAGCGGCUGCUGGAGCGAGGACUAUUAGAGCCGCGCGAAGACACGGGAACGCCGGAGCCACCGAGCGAGAUAAAAACGCCGACUCUGACCCCGGAGCCAGGACGCUUGUCCCGCGAGGAAGUCCCCUCCGAAGCGGAGCGAAAGCCGGAACCCGAGGAAGAGGAUCGGGAGAGCGUUUGCGAAGAAACCGAAGAACCGAAGGUGCCAGAGAUCAGUGUCGAAGAGUCGAAAGACGAAGAGGAAAGUACUCCGGAGACAAUGAGCUGCCCCAGAAAUGCAAAUUUACCCCAGGUCCCGACCUUCGACAAGGAAAAAGUCAAGGAAUUGGUAUCCACUGAAAUCAGCCUCGAGAAACAACUCGAGGCCGUACAAAAUCAAUUACUCGCUCUUAAACAAUUGCCCAGCGAAAUUGAAAAUCAUCUGAGAAUAGUCUCCGAACAAUUGCACAAAAUAAUGGAAUUGAGCGGUGUACAGAACGGAGGUGAGCGCGGUGGACGCCGCAACUCGGCAGAAGAAGAGAGCAACGGGAGGGCAGAGGCUGAGGAAAGAUCGACGUGUAAAUCACCGGUCUCGCCAGUGGAAAACGAACACGAAGACAAAGACGAGCAUCUGCAAGCCUCGGAGCCCGAAAUAAGAGAAUCCCCGUCGACGAUGAUGAGUGACGAGCCACCAAUAAUUAUCGAGCCUGAAGCUGACGAAGACGAGCCUGCCGAGACGAAAGAAUUGGGCGAAGUCAACGUUAAAAGCACCGUCGAAGAAGAGGGCCAUGUCAAAAAAUGUAUCGCAACUUAUCAGACGAAAGUCCUCAAGUCGCGAGAACCGAGUCCUGCUCCUUCUUACGCACAGAGGCGGAAGAAGACGCUCCAACGAUUUAUGGCCCCAGGCUAAACAGCUGGAGCUCACUUACGGACGAAGAUGGAGGUGUCCGAAUGAUUUUUUCAACGACGAGAUGAUAGCCGAGGUUUUAUCGUCUCAGGCGGAAGUUAUUCGCGGUCGAGCCAUGGGGGUGAACUUCAAGAAGUUUGAAAAAAAUUGGCUACCGAAUUACGAUCAUUUGAUGGGCUCGAGCGUCUACAAAAUGUUGCACAAAAUGGAACGAGAGCCGAAGACAGGAAUUCCGGCGAGACCGCCGAAGGUUAUCGCCGCU
rnacentral:misc_RNA from 1 species